rnacentral:rRNA from 1 species
GGCGGCGUGCUUAACACAUGCAAGUCGAGCGAUGAAGCUUCCUUCGGGAAGUGGAUUAGCGGCGGACGGGUGAGUAACACGUGGGUAACCUGCCUCAAAGUGGGGGAUAGCCUUCCGAAAGGAAGAUUAAUACCGCAUAAUAUGAGAGAAUCGCAUGAUUUUCUUAUCAAAGAUUUAUUGCUUUGAGAUGGACCCGCGGCGCAUUAGCUAGUUGGUAAGGUAACGGCUUACCAAGGCAACGAUGCGUAGCCGACCUGAGAGGGUGAUCGGCCACAUUGGAACUGAGACACGGUCCAGACUCCUACGGGAGGCAGCAGUGUGGAAUAUUGCGCAAUGGGGGAAACCCUGACGCAGCAACGCCGCGUGGGUGAUGAAGGUCUUCGGAUUGUAAAGCCCUGUUUUCUGGGACGAUAAUGACGGUACCAGAGGAGGAAGCCACGGCUAACUACGUGCCAGCAGCCGCGGUAAUACGUAGGUGGCGAGCGUUGUCCGGAUUUACUGGGCGUAAAGGGUGCGUAGGCGGAUGUUUAAGUGGGAUGUGAAAUCCCCGGGCUUAACCUGGGGGCUGCAUUCCAAACUGGAUAUCUAGAGUGCAGGAGAGGAAAGCGGAAUUCCUAGUGUAGCGGUGAAAUGCGUAGAGAUUAGGAAGAACACCAGUGGCGAAGGCGGCUUUCUGGACUGUAACUGACGCUGAGGCACGAAAGCGUGGGUAGCAAACAGGAUUAGAUACCCUGGUAGUCCACGCCGUAAACGAUGGAUACUAGGUGUAGGGGGUAUCAACUCCCCCCUGUGCCGCCAGUUAA